ensembl:snoRNA
UUGCAUUGUGGUAUGUUGGUGAAAGCUCAGCUUUUACUGUGAGUGUAUCUAUCAUACCAAUGCUAAAUGAACCCCAUCUUGCAGAAGGGUGAAAGUCUGUGGUAGUGGCACUUGCUCUUUCGAAAGUUGGGUACAUUU